ACUCGGGGUUGGAGCACUCCUGAAGCAGAGGGCAGCCCAACAACUCCUCUCCUUUCUAACUUCCUCUCUGUGACUCCGUCCCCGGUCUCCGAGCUCCAGUUACCUAUUUUCAUGGCUAGCAGACCCUAGAUUGGGAAAAUCGAUCCCAUUGUUAAAUCAUCGAAAUCAAUCCGGAGUCUUUUUCCGAGAUAGUCGUCGUACAUCUGGCCACGGGCCGCCACUGGUCACAGUAGUUGGUUGCCUCCAGCGAAUCUACAAUUCACAAAUUUUUGAAUUUGUCUGCAAUGAUCUGCUAUUCUGCUUCGUUUCGCUUUGGUCAAUCUCGACCACCUCAAUGAAAUCCCGUAGUAACCAACAACCUCAUGAUGCCUAGAUCGAGAGGGCUCAUGGCCAAUCCUUGCUUGUUCAUGUUCUGAUCGAUCCCAGUGAACAAUUUGAAUUGAACUCAAAAGAGCACCCACUUCCUUCACCAGUUUUUGGCACUAGAGGUGCACAAGAACCUCGCAUCUUCACCAGCAAAAUUGACGAAAAAAUAGCAUGAUAAGAUGAAGCCUAUGAUUGCAAGGUGCCUACGCCGAGCAAAAUCGUUGCCGGCCGUCACCCUCUUGGUGAUCAGUGGAGAGAAAAACCUUCUCCCUGGACUGAUCGAGCAAAGACGCCACCGCUAGGCAGCAACCUGAGUCUUCCUUGUGGAGAGAGAGAACCUAGCAUUUUUUAUUUGGUAAAUGAGAUAUGUAAAUUAUGUAUGUGAUCAUUGUACAUCUAAUUUUGUGGGGGUUGUUUACAAUAAUAUAUGUAAUGUUUUUC
rnacentral:lncRNA from 1 species